rnacentral:tRNA from 1 species
GUGGGGAUUGGCGAGGGUGCCCGCCAUAGCGGUCUCGAAAACCGUUGUGGCGCUUGCGUCACCGUGGGUUCGAAUCCCACCCCCUCCGCCA